CUUCCAGACUCCUACGGGAGGCAGCAGUGGGGAAUAUUGCACAAUGGGGGGAACCCUGAUGCAGCGACGCCGCGUGGGUGAAGGAGCACCUCGGUGCGUAAAGCCCUAUCGGCAGGGAAGAAACAGACGGGACCUGACUAAGAAACCCCGGCUAACUACGUGCCAGCAGCCGCGGGAAUACGGAGGGGGCAAGCGUUAUCCGGAUUCACUGGGUGUAAAGGGAGCGUAGACGGCGACGCAAGUCUGGAGUGAAAGCCCGGGGCCCAACCCCGGGACUGCUCUGGAAACUGCGGCGCUAGAGUACGGGAGGGGCAGGCGGAAUUCCUGGUGUAGCGGUGAAAUGCGUAGAUAUCAGGAGGAACACCGGCGGCGAAGGCGGCCUGCUGGACCGUGACUGACGUUGAGGCUCGAGAGCGUGGGGAGCAAACAGGAUUAGAUCCCCCAGUA
rnacentral:rRNA from 1 species